CGCUGCCCACGGGACGAGUGGUGGCCGCGGUGACGAACGCUGCUGCUCCUCCGCUUCCUCGAACUCCAAGAUGCGGGCCACGGAUCCGUGGUCGCCUUCUUCCGCGAACAGCGGCGGUGCCCGCUGUCGGCGUCAGACUCCCAAGCAAGCGAGGAUGAGCACGACGCGUAGGAGGACGACGACCCGAGCUUGAGCCCGACCAUGACGCACCGCACAAGGUCCUUGCUUCCUUCCUGACGGCAAUGGAUCCCUUCCUUGCAGUUGCCUGGGUUGCUGACGAGAUCCAUCUGCCCGGCUGGAGCCUGUUAUUCGCUUGAUGAAAGUCAGACCAAUUGUAGGACUGACCUUUCUCUCAAAUUUCACCUGAAACACCAAGCUUUACAUCUGAAGCUCAGCAGUAUAAUUUUCCAGAGUUUGGCUUGAGGCAUCAUUUUGCAGCUGAAAGGAAAUGGGCUCUUUGUCUUCAGGUGGAGUCAGACUUUGUUGAGAACAUGAUGCAUAACCAAAGCAUCGGCAGCACCUGCGAGAGGAGGCUACCACUGCUUCCACUGUAUGGAACCAAUGUAUUCAAACUACUCUCCUGUGAGGAUUUGUUCUGCUAUACAAUUUUCUUUCAUUUCCCAUCCAGGUUGUGUUCAAAUGAUAGGUGGCAUUGCAAAUUAUGACCAGUUUAAAUGUUGUUUAGUGAGGUUUAAGCUGCUUUCAGGUUUACCAAGCAUUCUCUACUGUAGUAUUUGGUCCUUCUCCCCUCCUCUUCUUAGUGCUUGCAUUUGAUGAAGCAAAACAUGCAUAUCUCAUCAGUGCUUGCUUGACUCUGGGCUGGAUCUCAGCGGCAUUUGCUCAACCUGCAGCUGUCUCUUGAUAUCCUUUUUGCGGUUUAGUAUUACAGUGAACCGACUCAUCAGCGUCGCAUGGGUACUUGGUGUCACGUCCACCCGCCGAGUUGACGAGUCAUAUAUUGCUUUCCAAAUUGUUCUUAUUCCUGUGACUCAUAAGUCGUAAUGCAAAAAUAAUAUGCGUCCAAGGAAGCAGGCCAGGAUAUAUAUUGCUUUCCCUAUAUAAAGUAUACUUCCUUAGUCCUCUCUGUUAACACCGAGUUUUUUUGUGUGUGGCUAUUAGCCAGGUAGCAGGCCAGAAUCUUACUCAUUGUUAUAUGAAUUAAAUAUGGAUUGUGUCAUGCCCACAGUACGAUAUGUAGGGCAAAAGAUCGGCCUAUUAGGUCAUUGUACUCUUCUUAGUUGGGUUGUGAACACCUCAGCUAUACUUGAUGUGUAGAGGCAUAUUCUUGCUAUAAUCUGUUCUGACUGCCAUGCUUCUUAGUUUCCAAUAUAUUAGUCCAACAAAUGAUGUUGCUUCCUAAUUUUUUGUAAUUACAAUAUGCUCUGAUAGACAUUUUAUAUGUUUCUCUAAUUCUUUGGUCUGGUUUCGAGCUCAGAUGUAUUUAAGGUUGUCUUGCAACAAUGCAUCUUUAGGGACCUGAAGUUCAUUAUUAAGAGAAGCUGAUGCUUGUGCGGAUUGUUGAAUCAAUCAAGAUGGAAUGCAAUAGAGUCUCAUUGGUACCAUUGCCGAUGACCACGAUGCAGACAUUCACUCUAUUAUCUGAGAUUUUUUUUGCUCAUCCCCUAUGGUAGAUGAUAGUUCAAGCUGUGAAUUAAUCCACUAUACAUAUUUUCAUCUUUUGUUGUGUUUUAGCAUAACCGUUGUCUGAUUUGAGUUUUUGUAAGCCUGCUGAAGUCCUAUUGAUUGUGUUCCUGCAACUCAGUUUUCAUCAAAGGGGUGUCUUCUGAAAAUUAAGAGAAUAACUAAUUGUAUAUGCUAUUUAUUUGUGUACUUUUUGUGAGAUUCAGAUGAUGCACACUUGAAUUAUAAUUGAAUCAUGUGUCCUCGGCUAUUGAGGC
rnacentral:rRNA from 1 species